GGAAUCUUCAUCGGGUUCAUUAUAAUUCCUAUUGGAGACAAAUAUGGUGAUUCCGACCAGUUCGUGUAUUUUUCCAGUUCGUGGAUUUCAUUUAGGAGGAAGUUCUCAUGCGUGGCCAGUUUUUCAACAAAUCUCUUCUGUUGGUUUUGUGCAUACUUACAGAGAGGAACAAUACUUGAUGUAUUGUAAAUGAUUUCCAGUUCUUUGGCUACUAUUGGUGAAAUGGUAAACCAGACCGGGAACCCAUACAAUAAAAUAGGCCUUAUCGCUACUUUAUAGAGAAGUAGUUUUGUGUUCUGGGAUCGUGCGUGCUGGUUGAAUUUGAAAAGGUUGGUGAAAUGAACCCCCAGAUAUUUUAUUGACGUUUUCAAUGGGAUUUCAAUGUCUUCCAAUGUCAACCGUAACAGCUUACUUUCUGGGACUACAUAUUUUGCACAUUUUCCAGAGGCGUUUCGGAAGCAAAUUGCGGCUGAUUUUGAAGCGUUGAUUUGCAUACCCCACGUUUUGUAGUAGCUGUUGAUAAUAUUUAAAUGGGCUUUUACGCUAUUCAGAGCGGUUGUCGGUGAAGCGUAGUGCGAGUAAAUCAAGCAAUCGUCCGCGUAAAGAAUCGAUUGCGAAUUUUGGCCAAUGUGGGGAAAAUCGUACAGAAAAAAGUUAAACAUAUGUGGCGCCAACACACUUCCUUGAGGUACACCACUCCUUACUAACCUAUUGAGGAAGAUAUACCAUUGAUGUGCACCAUGAAUUUGCGGCAAUUGAAGAAACUAAGCAUCAUUUUUAUGAGGUAUAGAUCUAUGCCAAUUUCAAUGAGCUUAUAUAGAAUUCCAACAUGACAUACGGAGUCGAAAGCUUUUGAAUAUCCAAAGAUACAGCAACGGUGCACUUUUGAUUUCUUAAAUUUGAUGUUAUGUCGUUGUGGAACUUGAGGAGACCGAUUCAAGUAUUUUUCCAACGUUUGAAAGAAGUGAAAUUGGCCUGAAGUCGUCCACCGUGGUG